UACGUAGGGGGCAAGCGUUGUCCGGAAUCAUUGGGCGUAAAGCGCGUGUAGGCGGUUCGAUAAGUCUGCUGUGAAAGUCCAGGGCUCAACUCUGGGAUGCCGGUGGAUACUGUCGGGCUAGAGUACGGAAGAGGCGAGUGGAAUUCCCGGUGUAGCGGUGAAAUGCGCAGAUAUCGGGAGGAACACCAAUUGCGAAGGCAGCUCGCUGGGACGUCACUGACGCUGAGACGCGAAAGCGUGGGUAGCAAACAGG
rnacentral:rRNA from 1 species